UAUCUCUGUGCUUAUCGCAGAUGUGUAGUGCACUUUUUCCUGCAACAUUGCAAAUCGUUUAGUGAGUGUUGAGGCGGACUUAGAUAAUCUUAACAAAUCGUUUGGAUAAAGGGCCGGCCUAACGGCCCCAU
rnacentral:misc_RNA from 1 species